GACGAACGCUGGCGGCGUGCUUAACACAUGCAAGUCGAACGGAAAGGCCCUGCUUUUGUGGGGUGCUCGAGUGGCGAACGGGUGAGUAACACGUGAGUAACCUGCCCUUGACUUUGGGAUAACUUCAGGAAACUGGGGCUAAUACCGGAUAGGAGCUCCUGCUGCAUGGUGGGGGUUGGAAAGUUUCGGCGGUUGGGGAUGGACUCGCGGCUUAUCAGCUUGUUGGUGGGGUAGUGGCUUACCAAGGCUUUGACGGGUAGCCGGCCUGAGAGGGUGACCGGCCACAUGGGGACUGAGAUACGGCGCAGACUCCUACGGGAGGCAGCAGGCGGGAAUAUUGCACAAUGGGCGGGAGCCUGAUGCGGCAACGCCGCGUGCGGGAUGACGGCCUUCGGGUUGUAAACCGCUUUCGCCUGUGACGAAGCGUGAGUGACGGUAAUGGGUAAAGAAGCACCGGCUAACUACGUG
rnacentral:rRNA from 1 species